rnacentral:rRNA from 1 species
UGAGGAAUAUUGGUCAAUGGACGCAAGUCUGAACCAGCCAUGCCGCGUGCAGGAUGAAUGCCCUAUGGGUUGUAAACUGCUUUUAUAUAGGAAUAAACCCCCUCUCGUGAGAGGGGCUGAAGGUACUAUAAGAAUAAGGACCGGCUAACUCCGUGCCAGCAGCCGCGGUAAUACGGAGGGUCCAAGCGUUAUCCGGAUUUAUUGGGUUUAAAGGGUCCGCAGGCGGGAAAAUAAGUCAGUGGUGAAAUCCUAUCGCUUAACGAUAGAACUGCCAUUGAUACUGUUUUUCUUGAGUGUAAUUGAAGUGGGCGGAAUGUGUCAUGUAGCGGUGAAAUGCAUAGAUAUGACACAGAACACCGAUUGCGAAGGCAGCUCACUAAAUUAUUACUGACGCUCAGGGACGAAAGCGUGGGGAGCAAACAGG